CCUACGGGCGGCAGCAGUGGGGAAUAUUGGACAAUGGGGGGAACCCUGAUCCAGCCAUGCCGCGUGUGUGAAGAAGGCCCUCGGGUUGUAAAGCACUUUCAGUGAGGAAGAACGCCUGGUGGUUAAUACCCAUCAGGAAAGACAUCACUCACAGAAGAAGCACCGGCUAACUCCGUGCCAGCAGCCGCGGUAAUACGGAGGGUGCGAGCGUUAAUCGGAAUUACUGGGCGUAAAGCGCGCGUAGGUGGCUGGAUAAGCCGGUUGUGAAAUCCCCGGGCUCAACCUGGGAACGGCAUCCGGAACUGUCAAGCUAGAGUGGAGAAGAGGAAGGUAGAAUUCCAGGUGUAGCGGUGAAAUGCGUAGAGAUCGGGAGGAAUACCAGUGGCGAAGGCGGCCUUCUGGACUGACACUGACACUGAGGUGCGAAAGCGUGGGUAGCAAACAGGAUUAGAUACCCUGGUAGUC
rnacentral:rRNA from 1 species